UACGUAGGGUGCAAGCGUUAAUCGGGAUUACUGGGCGUAAAGCGUGCGCAGGCGGUUUUGUAAGUCUGUCGUGAAAUCCCCGGGCUUAACCUGGGAAUUGCGAUGGAGACUGCAAGGCUGGAGUCUGGCAGAGGGGGGUAGAAUUCCACGUGUAGCAGUGAAAUGCGUAGAGAUGUGGAGGAACACCGAUGGCGAAGGCAGCCCCCUGGGCCUGCACUGACGCUCAUGCACGAAAGCGUGGGGAGCAAACAGG
rnacentral:rRNA from 1 species